GAGACACACUUAUGGGGCAGGUCUUGCUUCAGUGGGGCUUUGGCAUUCACUGAAUCUGCCCUUUGAGUGUAUCACU
rnacentral:pre_miRNA from 1 species